rnacentral:lncRNA from 1 species
GUAGCCCCUAAAAAUUUCUUUAUGAAAUUCACACAAGCCUAAUGACUGAAAAAGAUGUCCAUGAUUUCCUAGAGCUGGGAAGUGGAAUUGUUGCGCCCGAAUAAAGAGCUGGUUCAAAGGCAUUAAAAUGAUGUGUGCAAUUUUUCAGGCCACUCAAGUCCGCUAGGCUUGGAUAUAAAUUAGUCCAAUGCAGUUAGGCCAGAGCACAUUUGGUUUCUCUAUGAAGACGAAUUGCAAUCCUUUAAAAUAAAGAUCGAUUAAUUCUAUAAUUAAUGCAAGCAGAGCAAGACUCUUUUGUUGGUGCUAGGAAAGGGUGAUUUCUAUUGUGCUCAAUAUGCAGGUAUAAACUGGCCAUGACUAAACAGUCAGCGACUUUGGAGGAAGAGCUUCUAUUCUCAUAGAAAAUGAACACAUUAUCUGAUGGUACAUAGAGUGGUAUGAUCACUUGCAGAAUAACACUAGUAAUAAUAUGGGAAAGGAAUACGAGAAAAAUAAACUGAAACAGGAUAAGUUUGGAGAGAGAAAACAAAUAAAUUUUAUGAAUAGAUAAAACAUACAAAAGGUGGAUCGAAGUUCUCAAUUUCUGUUUUAGAAACGUCUCACAAAAUCUCUCGAAUAGCGUACCCUCCAAGAACCAUCGCACCCCACCUCUAACAAGUCACAGUGACCCUUUAUAUAAAAGCUAGAGAUUACGCCUCUUCGUAUUGGUUAUUUACUUAAAAUAAUUUUUUUUAAGCUUAUCAA